GCCCUAGAGGAGCGUGAGACUUUUCGUUUUUGUGGCCUCUCUCUUCCUCUUGAGCAUUGCAUUUUUGCAUUUUCAAAGGGAGAGAGGGUGAGGGGAGUGAAGUCG
rnacentral:ribozyme from 1 species